rnacentral:rRNA from 1 species
CCUACGGGUGGCAGCAGUGAGGAAUAUUGGUCAAUGGCCGGAAGGCUGAACCAGCCAAGUCGCGUGAGGGAAUAAGGCCCUAUGGGUCGUAAACCUCUUUUGUCAGGGAGCAAAGGCGUCCACGAGUGGACGAAAGGAGAGUACCUGAAGAAAAAGCAUCGGCUAACUCCGUGCCAGCAGCCGCGGUAAUACGGAGGAUGCGAGCGUUAUCCGGAUUUAUUGGGUUUAAAGGGAGCGUAGGCGGGUUGUUAAGUCAGUUGUGAAAGUUUGCGGCUCAACCGUAAAAUUGCAGUUGAUACUUGCAUCCUUGAGUACAGUAGAGGUAGGCGGAAUUCGUGGUGUAGCGGUGAAAUGCUUAGAUAUCACGAAGAACUCCGAUUGCGAAGGCAGCCUGCUGGACUGUAACUGACGCUGAUGCUCGAAAGUGUGGGUAUCAAACAGGAUUAGAUACCCUUGUAGUC